UACAUUCCACCCUUCUUUUCCCGCGAACCAAACGAGCCCUUAGUAUUUAUUAUAUUUAUAUGGCAUACCGAGCCGGAGACGUAGGAGGGCUCGUCGUGCUUGCUCAUACGCGACCGCAUAUAAGGGUCGCAGGAGAGGUACAGGUUCUUGAGCAGCACCGCCUUGGAUCCCGCGGGGACCUUCAAUCGGACGGUGUCCGUCGUCACGAUCUCCAUGUCGCUCUCCUUGGGGAAACCCGCCGUUAUGAAGUCCUUCAACGCAACCUUCUUAUUCGCCCUCACCUCCGCCAUCGCGCUCUCUCUCCCGCACUCCCUCUCCCCCUGCGGGCUUUAGGGAAGGCCUAUGGACGAGGUUUCGUGAUAUUAAGUACUUCACGCAGAAGGCUCUUGAAAUUUACUAUCGUAAUGCUUAUAAUAUUAUAAUAUUUAGUAUAACUAUUGCAAUGGUUCCUGUAAAUUAACUAUUGUAAAUUUGUAAUGAUUGAGCAGCCGUUGUAAAAUAUAUAUAUAUAUAUAAUAAAAAAACUAUAGAUGAGGAUUCGUGAUAUUAUGUAUUAUAAUAUUUAUUAUAAUUAUUGUAACAGUUGCUGUAAAUUAACUAUUAUGAUGAUUGCGCAGCCUGUGUAAAAUAUAUAUAUAUAUUUAUAUAUAAAAUUAUAAUAUUUAUUAUAACUAUAGAUGAGGAUUCGUGAUAUUAUGUAUUAUAAUAUUUAUUAUAAUUAUUGUAAUGGUUGCUGUAACUUAACUAUUGUAAUGAUUGAGCGGCCGGUGUAAAUAUAAAUAUAUAUAUAUAUAUAUAUAAUAUUAUUAUUAUAUUUAUUGUAACUAUAGAUGAGGAUUCGUGAUAUUAUGUAUUGUAAUAUUUAUUAUAAUUAUUGUAAUGGUUGCUGUAACUUAACUAUUGUAAUGAUUGAGCGGCCGGUGUAAUAUAUAUAUGUGUUGUGGUUCAAAUUUGGUCCGAGGGUAACUACACCGGGGGAGGCAAGGGAGCUGCCGGUUUGAGUGGAGAAAAAAGAGCCACCUCCCGUGCAACGGCAUACCUGCACAAAGCUUCACUGGUGGUUUCGGUGAGGGCCCUUUGACGCUCAAGUUAGAGUAAAUCUUAGUUGGUCUAGAAGUCUCCUUAGAUGUUAUCUGAUGGGGCUAUUUAUAGUCCCUGUUGAGGUAUCCAGGUGCAAAGAUAUGGCCCGUCCUCAUCAUGGGAGGAGAUGGGUUUUAGACAAAUGGCGCGCAGCUAGAGCUUGCUUGAGGCGUGCGGCGUAGGCCGUUCCUGUGAACGGUAAGACGUUGAUAGGUAUGACAGGGUAUGGUUGGAGAAGCAUGGCAUUGUCCUUGGCUGUCGUUGGCCAGCAAGCAAAGCAUGGCGCGGUGAAGUUCUAAUGUACGGCCAUGUAGGCAGGCGUGGGCACGCGCGUGGAUGCGAUCGUGGGCGAGGCCGAGCUCGAUGAGAGGUCGCAUCAUAUAUUCGGCGAGGUUGGCUUGGCGAGUGCCGAAGUUGGCCUAACUUCCCUAAUUCCGAGGUUUGCUCGGCAGGGCGCCCCAAGCUUGAAUGUCGGGGGGCGUCGUUGGAUGGGGCGCCCCGAACUUAGUUGGGGCAUAUCGUUGAAUAUAAAGGGCGCCCUAAAGCUCAGCCAAGGUGCACCGGCGAAUAUAAAGGCGCCCCAAGCUCGGCCAGAAUGCGUCGGUGAAUAUAAGGGCGCCCUGAGCUCGGCCAGGGCGCGUCGGCGAAUAUAAGAGGCGCCCUGAGCUUGAUCGGGGCGCGUCGGCGCAUAGUCCUACGGUUGAGGAGCUCUUGAGCUCGCAGCUAGCACAGCAGGGUGUCCCGGGCUCAGGCUCGGAACGUCAUUAUAGGCAUUAGAAGAAGUUACGACAGGUCGUAGCAGUGGGGAGGUCUGGCCGAGGUCAACUGAAUCUUCAGCGAAGUUCGAGGCCGGGCUGAUUCUGAGCAUGAGCAAGGNNNNNNNNNNNNNNNNNNNNNNNNNNNNNNNNNNNNNNNNNNNNNNNNNNNNNNNNNNNNNNNNNNNNNNNNNNNNNNNNNNNNNNNNNNNNNNNNNNNNNNNNNNNNNNNNNNNNNNNNNNNNNNNNNNNNNNNNNNNNNUAUACUAAAUAUUAUAAUACAUAAUAUCGCGAAAGUCAACCAUAGAUAUAUUAAAUAUGAUAAUAUUAUAUAUAUAUAUAUAUAUAUAAUAUUAUCAUAUUUAUCAUAACUAUAGAUGAGGAUUCGUGAUAUCAUGUAUCAUAAUAAUUAUUAUAAUUAUUGUAAUGGUUGUUGUAAACUUAAUUACUGUAAUGAUUGAGCAGCCGGCGUAAAAUAAAAAAGGAAAAAUAUAUAAUAUUAUAAUAUUUAUUAUAGCUAUAGAUGAGGAUUCGUAAUAUUAUAUAUUAUAAUAUUUAUUAUAACUAUUGUAAUGAUUACUGUAAAUUAGCCUGAUUUGCUUUUUUGAGACUUGAGAGUAUGAAAAUAGCGAGACUUUGUCAAAGGAGGGGAUAUUGCUGGUGCACCGUAGUGUAUGUCGAUUUCCACAUUUUUCCUACGGAAGGAGGCAUCACGACGCCUGGACGGCAAAGCUAAACGUCAAACGAUGUCGUUCCGAGCAUCAAUUUUUCUUUUUUCUUUUUUUGCAGGAAAUAAUCACCGUUUUUUUUUGUCUAAGUAUCAGCUUUUAGCGUCAUGCUAAAUUAGAAGGGGGACGAACCUGCAGGCAUUAUUUUAAAUUCUAGCAAAAAAUGGAGGGCAUCAUGACCAUCCUACAAUAAAAUGGGGACGAACUUUGAAACUAUCUGUAUGGAAAAGAAGGGGAAAAAAAAGAUUUAAAAAUUUUCUCGAGUAAAGAACUUUAGCCAAACUUGACUCUAAACUGUAAUCACCACCCAGGAGCGGCUCAAUAUAAUGUAUUUGGAGGCCUAAGGCCGUUUUAUUUUUGAAGCCUUUCCUGCAGUGGGCCGGCCUAAGGUGUUCAUAAGGGAGCCUUUUUUCUUUUCAUUUGUCUUCGAGGCCUUUCCUGUGGUGGGCUUUCUUUGAGCUGAGGCUUUAGGCAACCGCCUCAGUUGCCUAAGAAUUGGGCCGGCCCUACUACAUCAACACCACCACAAGCGACAUACAUGCAAUUCUCCAUGCAUCCUUCCUAGCUCAUACACCUUUGAAAGAUCCAAUCCAAAGAAAGAACUUUGCCAUGAAAUUCCACCAAGUAGCCCCUCUCAACUUGGCCUUGAAGGUUCCAAGAAUCAUCAGCCAGGUUUUUUACGUCAACUCUCCACAUAGAAAGGCCGAGAGAAACAACAUUGAUGUCUGCAGAAGUGACAUCAAAAUUAAAUGAUGCACUUGCAAGGCAUGCACCACAUUUAUAUGAAGUAUUCUUGGUGUUUUCCAAAUUAAAAUUCAUCUAUAUGUAUUUUUACAAAUCAUCACAUGCUAGGUUAUAAGGUUUUGGUCCAGUUCAUAAAACAACUGAAGCUGGGAUCAUUGCAGGAUUUCUUCAAGAUUGUUCAGCCAAAAAAUGCGCCAAGGUCAUGCAUCUUCUCAAAUACCACACAUAACUAAGCCAAGUUUGAUAAGUAUAGAAGCUUAACUUAGUUUGAUAAGAAGUUCAUUCACACCGUUGGGACAACUAGUGAUCUGAGCUACGUUGUUGAGCUUGGCUUGAGCCCGAUUAUUUAUUUGAUACUACGAGUUGAACCUGGGCAGCGUAUUUCUUGACCUAGGUUGGUCAAUUUGCAUCUGCAGCUGCUUGAAAAGAAUUUGAAUUAAUACAAAGGCAAAAUUGGACGUGUACUAGAAGUGUGAAAUCACAUUUUCUGAAAAUAGCUCUUUCUUAUUGUGGGACAAGCACGGGGAACCCUCAACCCUUAUCCAGCUUCAUCUUAUAAAGGUAAUGAGAUAGAAAAGUUGUAUCCUAAGUAGCUACUAACACGACAAAGAGAAAUUUUAUCAUACACUGGCUGUGCACCAUGCCAAUCAGGUCGCCUCAUUCCCAUAGGCCUCAUUCUUCAUACGGACAUGAUUGGUAUGGUGCAUGGCUAUAUUGGUGCAUGCGGUGCAAGAUAUAAUUUGCCCACAACAAAGCAGGUUAGUCCAUUUGCAUCUCCACGGUUAGGAUUAGCAGCCUAUUGGGCUUGCUUGGGGUGGGGUGCCUCCAAUCGUAUUCUGUAGCUUACUGCUCUCUUAUUGGUUGAUAUCAAAAAAUUUUUUAAAAAUAUGCUUCAUCUAAAGGCAAAAAUAUUUACAAUCUUCCUAUUGACAUUAAUGAGCUCUUAAUUCCUUUUGGUUUUAAAGAUAUUGAGUCUGACUUGAAUCUGAGCCAGCAAGAAUCCUAACAUGGUCCAAGUAAACCCUUUAGAGUUCAAACCCUUAUUCAUUAAGCAUGAAAACAGCUUAAGUCUCUGGGUUUGUUGAUUUUAAGUAGAUUCUGAAAUUACCCAAUCCAAUCAGUUGAAGCAAUUUUUAGUUUUCUUCACAAAAAAUGAUUUUCCAUCUCUGGGUUGGAGUUGUAGCCAAUUUUAUGGGAAAAAAGAUGCCACCAAAAGACCAUGUGGAAUUUGAGCUUGGGGCCUAUGAUUCAGGAGAAUCACCUGAUUCAUUGUGGACCAAUUUGGCUAUUAUGAGUAUUUAGGAGGAUCACCAAACUCGAUGUCGAAUACUUUGGCUACUAUGAGUAUUUAAGAGGAUUACUAGACUCGAUGUGAAACAUUUUAGCUACUACGAGUAUUCAAGAGGAUCACUAAACUCGAUAUGAAAUAUCUUGGCCACUACGAGUAUUCAGGAAGAUCACUAUACUCAGUGUGGAACACUUUAAUCCCUACGACUAUUCAGGAGGAUCACCAGACUCAGUAUGGAAUACUAUGACUACUACGAGCAGGGCUGGACACGGUUCAAAAGCAAAAUCCGCCACAUCAGGAAGGCGAGUCACAUGCCAAACUUUUGGAGCCCAUAACUGGUCAUAUGAUGCUUGAUCUUUCCGAGAUCUACAACAUUGGGCCAAAGAUUGAAUCAGACUGAAAUUCUAUCAUUUGGGCCCUAAAACGGACUGGUCAAACCAAAAAUUUCUUUUUCGGAUAAGAUUUUGACCGAGAGUAGCUCUUUAUCUGAGAAGAACAGGCAGAGCGACAGAAGGUAGAGUUAAUAUGGAAGUUGAGAUCUACUUUUUCAAAAAAAUUAACUUUUUUAAAAUAUUAUAUUUAUUUUAGAAUAUCUAGUUCUAUUCGAACUAGGAGAGAAAUCCAACCUAAAUUAUGAAAAUGCGAACCUUACUAAUAUUAUAAAUGGGGGCUAUAUACCUCAGUUUAAGAGGUGGGAUGGAUUAAUAAAAAAAAGGACUUAAAGUCUUACUUUCAAGAUUUUUCCAUCCUUUAGUUUUCUUUUGAGAGAUUUGAGUUGAGCGGGUUAAAAAAAAUCUUUCUUCUCUCCAAUCGGAUCAAGUUGAUAUCAGAGCCAUGCUCAUACAUGGAGGAAUUCCAACUUGAUCUGAUCAGAUCUAGUGGAUAUUAGAGCUUAUAGUGGAAUUCUAACUUGAUCUGAUCAAAUCAAGUUGAUAUCAGAGCUUCAGUCCUCUACAUCUAUGGGAGCCUUAGUACACAGUCCAGUUGCAUGAGCAGUACAAGCAAUUAGGAAAAGGGCUAUUCGUGCUUGAAAUAUAUUGAAGGACAAAGGUGACUAUGGAUGCUACUUCUACCUCGGUGAAUAAUGAGAUGAUGAAACGUCUCGCACAACUAAAGAAGAAGAUAGCCUAACUCAAAUUGUGUCUCGAUUGGCUACGCUUUCAACACAAGCACUAAUAACUCUAUCUUUGAGCAAAACCAAAUAGUUCGACCGUGAGGUAAGAAAACAAGCAUUUUCAUCUUUAAUUCUAAUUUAGCAGGAGCUAAAUCCUCUAAACAAUAGGAGAUCUGAUCCAAGAGAAUCACCGGACUCGCUGUAGACUAGUUUGGCUACUACAAGUAUUUAGAAGGAUCACCAAACUCAUAUGUGGACCACUUUGGCCGCCGGCUGUUCACCAUCUCUGGCUGCCAACCAAGUUCCCUAGCAUGACCCCUGAUGGUCCCGACCUCUCUUUCCUCUUUCUCUCUAGUUUCUCUCUCUUCUCCCUCUUUCUCUUUCUAUAAAGACCCAUAGAACCAAUUAUCGAGUCCCAUCUUCCUUUCCUAUGAAUCUGAGUUGACCCCUUGGUGCUCCGAAAGCCUACUGGACUGAUUACUCUAGCCUUAUAGAGUGUCUUUAAAACCCACUGAUAAUGAAACCCUUUGAAUCAUUGUGGCCAUGACCGAGUCUGUGCCCAUGAUUUAUUGAUCAAAUCGCUUAAAUCUGACCCGUCUGGAACCAUUGCACACCUAGUCAAACAUCCUUUUCUCUUGUUAUUUUAAGACUAUUAAAGUCAUUUGACAGGAAUUAAUUUUGCUUUUAAUAUUUUAAAUAUAUUUAAUAGAUUCAUCUAAUGAUAAUUUAAUAGCUUCAUCUAAUGAAAUAAUUUUGCUUUUAGAUAUUUUCAUAUAUUUAAUAGAUUUUUUCUCUUUAUUAUUUUCUAAUUAUCAUGUUUUUCAUGCAUAUGGUUUGUUCGUGAAGAUACCAUAUUAUUCUUACAAUUAUAGAUCAACAAAUAUUAUGAAAAUUUUGCUUUGUUAUGAAAUGCGGUUUUAUGAUUGGUUUUAAUGAAAAUAAUAUGUUUAUGAAAUAUAAAUCUGAUCAUGCAAUUUAAUAAUUUUUUAUCUACUUAUGUGUAUGUUUUAAGAAAAAAAUAUGAAUAUUUCGACAGCUCAAUUAAGUAUAUAUAUCUCAUAGAAUUGGAGAAGAUCCACACUCGGAGCUAUCAUCCGCACGAACACAGGCCCUACCAACAGUAUAAAGUUGGCAUAUCAAACAUUAUACUCUGUUGAUUACGAAUACAUGUCUUGAGUAUAAAAUAAUCUUAGCAUGAAUAUCUAUAUGGUAGAAAAAUGAUUUAUUAAUUUAUUUGUAAUAUAAAUUUGGCGGAGGAGGAGGAGGAGGAGGCGGCGGUGGGAGGAGAGAAAGAAAGCGGAGGUGCGGGAGAAGUGAAGAAGAGACGGUGGUGCAUGGAAACCCAUUCCUCGUCUGCUUCCCCCAGCCCCGAGGUCCACGGUGAAGGCUGCGGUCGCCGCUCCAGAAGAAUCCCAUCCUGUUUUUAAUCAUUUAAUUGAUGGGAAGCCACUGCCGUAUACCCCAAAAAUGCCUUUCUAAACGAAAAACCUAAAAAACAGCUUCCCAAACAAAAUAUGAGAUCAUAGCAAUUGCGCACAUAAGAUUCAAUCCUUCAUAGAGGUACAAUACAAUCUACUCGAAAAGAGCAGUUGGUUAUUUUAUGGGAAGGUUUAAAGAAGUAGUCUGAUGCUCACACAGCUGUUCAUUCAUGAGAAACUACAACCAACUGUUUACCAACAUUGCGGCCUGCAAAGAGCCCCACCAGUGCUGCAGGAGCAUUCUCAAGUCCUUCAGCUUUAUCCUCCACAUAAGUGAUCUUCCCAUCCUUCAUAUACGGGCAAUGAUCUACCUCAAACUGAUGAUANNNNNNNNNNNNNNNNNNNNAAGGUUGUAUUGAGAAAUCAUUCCACACACCGCGAUCCGACCAUGGGUCCUCAUGUUGAUAAGAACAGCAUCCAGCAUCGGACCACCAACAUUCUCGAAGUAGAUGUCGAUACCUUCGGGAAACAUCCUGAAAAGAAAGACUUCAUUAGAUUGUUGUUGGAAAGAAAUUGCUACUGCUCUUCUUCACACUGUAAAAUUAAAUGACCGAACAAACUAUACUCAGGGGACAGAGCUAUCUAUCUAAUACCAGCUUGCCACUAUUUAUAUUAUUAUAACAACAGAUUCUCUUUGGUCCAAUAUAUAGAGAAGAAAUCUCCACAACCAGGGUAUAUGACAGUCCAAAUAAUUUGAAGGCAACUCCAUGUUCUCCAAACUACAAUAACUAGACCAUGGAUGGACCUGCAUUAUGCAAACAUCCUGCAUAAAAGCGCCCGCCAAUCACGGAUCAUCACAAAUUCCAUUGCAGAGAUUUUCAGAAAUCAGGACAGUUGGAAUUGAAGCUAAGAUGCAUAACAUACACAGGCAAGACCCAUGACAGAUACUUGUCUCAGUUGUCUGUGUCAUGUAAUUCCAUGCAUCACUAAGAGUUUAAGGCUGGAUGCAGAACACUAGUUUCAUAAACCAUCAGUUCUCUCGAGAUAAAAAAAAAAAAGUCAGUUAAAAAAAGAAGAAGCAACCAACCUCUUUAAAGCUGCACUCAAGUCUGGCUCCUUCUUAUAAUUAAAAGCCUCAUCAAAACCAAACUUGUUCUUCAAUAAGUUAACCUGAGUAGACAGUGCCAAAAAGGAAGUUGAGCAAUCUUAAACAGAAGAGGCAUAGGUAAAAUGCAAUGAGAACACAAAAUCUCUCUCAGGACUGUAGUGCCAAAAAAGAAAUUGAGUGAUGCUUAAACAGAAGAGGCAUGAGUAAUAUGCAUACGAUAACACAAAAUCUCUCAGGACUAGUGCUUUGUUUCACUAAAGCUGAAUAUGUACAAUUUUCUUCUCUGCAACCACAAUCAUAUCCAUUAUACCUCUUCGACCUCAUGUUAGUCAUAAGAAAACAGAAAAAGAACACAUCCACUGUGAAACAUUUCAGGUUAUCGAUGGUGCAUUCUUCUAGGGAUUGGGGACCUACAAAAUUGUAGCAUUUUUCAAUAUCCAAGCCCCCGAGCUUGCUUGCAUAAUAAAUUGCAGCUGAAAAGGGAUCUAAGGAAAUUUGAUCUGAAGGGCUCCCAGAAACACUCCUAUUAUCUAUAUUCGAAAAACAAAAUUUGGGUAACCUGAAUCCAAUACAUGAAACCUCAAGUAAACAACUAAUAGGUGUACUCUGUUAAAAAUUGCUCUUAUUAAUUUUUAUGUGCAGGUUCUAACCUCAUGCCUGAUCAAUUUUUUGUAUUUCUUAUGUGUUUCAGAAAUUCUUCUUAUCCAAAAUUUGAGAACCCAAGUCACAGUCUUACAAACCUUUUCAUCAGAACCAGCACUUCCAACCACGUAACAGCCCAUUAAUUUGGCAAGCUGCCCAACAAGCUGUCCAACGGCACCUGAUGCAGCAGAGACAAAGACAUAUUCCCCUUUCUUUGGCGAGCUGAUCUCAUGAAAUCCAAUAUAAGCUGUGAACCCUGCCAUGCCUGAAUAUGAAAAUAGUGAUGUCAGAAGCCAUAUGACAAAUUGCACGGGAAGCACGGAAACUAAGGAACAGAACUAUUCUACCAAAGUUCAGUGACAUUCUUUUUCUUCACCAUAGUGAUUACUUGAUCUACAUCUGGUUUAGUACACUUGUGGACUCUCUCGGCUUGAUGCACAAAGCUGAUAAUUGAAACCACCUUAAUCAUUGAAAAAAUAAAUCUAAUUUACACUGAGCUUUUCACUUGUUUGACUUUUUUUUUUUUUUCUGAACAUGGUUUCAGGUAUCUGCCUCAGCAGGCAAUCCUUGAUCCAGAUGAUAUAAUUCACAUAUGGCCUUACUUAUCCCUGAACAUUUCCAUUAUCAUUAAUAGGUAAUACCAAAGAACUAAAAAAAAAACUAACAUUGAUAUUCCAUAGUCCAUACAAUGUUAGAUGUUAAUGAUUUUCAGUAUCAUUUUGCCAUUCUUGCAAGAUUUACAACCACAGUUGUUAAACAAUAAUGUAAUACAACUGUCAAAUCAGAAGAACCUUAAAGUAACAUAUUGCGAUAUCAAAGAACGGCUACUGUUUAAUGGUUAUGUACUCAACAUAUUCGGAUGGCGAAUACCAGAUUUGUAGGCAUUUUGCUGAACAAACAACUUACCAAGAAGGCCAGUGUAAUAGGAAAGGGGUACAUCAGUGUAUCUGAUCUUGAAAAGCAUCUCUGUUUCUGUGAUGAGGCUAUACUCUUCCCAUCCAGUCAUGCCCCACACAAAGUCACCUACCUUGAAAUCUGGAUGGCGAGAAUCCACCACUUUACCUACACCAAAACCAGUUAUGACCUGUACAACGAAAGAAGAAAAAAGAUGAACUUGGAGAAACAGGGAACCUCAAAAUGUAAGCCCACAUAAGUAGAAGUUCCAUAAUGGUAAUAUUGUCCGAAACAGCUUUAGCUUGAUUGGGGAAAUGGAUGGCCUUUUACUUCAUCAAGUUCAAAAAUACUAGCUGUUAUUUGAGCUCUAAUGAUGUAGCAAACAUGAAUUACAGAGAAUAUGACUCUUUAACACAAUGUAGGAUCCAUAUGUAUUAUUUCUACAAUUAUAAAGAUGAAAUUCUAACCAUUGCUUUUCAAAUUAUAUAUGUCCUUCCGCAUAAAUUUACUACUGACAUGUUUUUCCUCUCUUGACCUGCCAAUUUAGCCUUAUCAUCUGACCCAAGCAUCUAAGUUAUAUUACUAUAGAACUAACAAUAUAAUAUGAGUCAAAUUUUUGCAUGGUAAAAGCUUAAAUAACUAGAAAUCAAAGAUUCAUAUGUGCUGCAACCGUGCUGGUGGCGCGUGACACUACGCCAUGACAUGUCACGUACUGUCACACCCCCGAUCCGAGAUCGUGAGCGGGGGGUCGCGUCAACUGCUACAUACUUAUAGUGAACUCUCUCCACAAGCAGCCAUCUCAAAUGAUAUCAUGAAUAUGAAACGAAAUUUUAACUAAUAAUAUGCAAACUUAAAUAUGAUUCACACUCAUAAUUCAUUAUCCUAACAUUUUCUAUGAUUUUUUUUUCUAUAAACUUCUCUACCCAGCGCGCUCUUGCCAUUUCUUGUUCAAAUAACAUAUUUAAUUGUGCUUUUUUUUCAAAAGUCGUAACUACUGGACUGCAGAACGAGUCAGUGCGUGUAGUAUAUGAUACAGGUAACAAACAAAACUGUACAAUAAUCUUAAUGGCAUCUAAUUUAAGCACAACUGUACCAUGAAGUUGUCGGAUACUACUUUUAUUCGAAUAAUCAAGUAUAUGACCCCGGUCACAAACAAAAGGACCAAUUAAUUCAAACCCCAGACCCCCAUAACAUUACCGACCCUAUCAGCUACCAUUCCAUCUCUUCAUCCUCCAAAACCAGGCCUUAAAAACUUAGAUCGAAGAUUCCAUAAACAGCUACCAUAACUCUUAAGAAAACAUAAGAGAAAUAAGUUGUAGAAACAAACAAAAAAAAUAAAAAAAUUGAAAGAGAGAGAGAGAGAAGAGGAGUCUUAUUGUAUAUUAUAUUUAUAAGGUAUACCGAGCCGGGGACGGAGGGGGGCUCGUCGUGCUUUCUCAUACGCCAUAGCGUAUAAGGGUCGCAGGAGAGGUACAUGUUCUUGAGCAGCACCGCCUUGGAUCCCUCGGGGACCUUUAAUCGGACGGUGUCCGUCGUCACGAUCUCCAUGUCACUCUCCUUGGGGAAACCCGUUAUGAAGUCCUUGAGCACAACCUUCUUGUUCGCCCUCACCUCCGCCAUCGCGCUCUCUCUCUCGCUUCCUCUCCCUUUGCGGGCUUUAGAUAGAAGCCUAUGGCCGAGGAUUCCUGAUAUUAAAUACUCCACGUAGAAGGCUCUAGAAAGACUAAACCAUGCAUAAAUGUAUCAAUUCACCAAAAUCUGAAAGACUAAACCAUAAAUAUUGAGGUCACUGCGCAUGUCACUGCAUCAAGCCCGUUUGAAACUCUUACGAGAGUCCAAGGGCCUCACGUUUUGGAAAAGUGUCUAAUAACAAUAUCAAUGGAAAUUACAAGAAAGUCUAAUAAUGUCUGUGCUGGCUUCCUACGGGAGGAGGCAUGGUCCAUCACGACGCUUGGAAGGCAACGCCUCGACGCAAAGCUAUACAGGCACUUUUUGAAGGGCAAAACCGCGAGAAAGGCUUCUACCUGCCCUAAAGCGGACGAUACCUUCUGUAGGGACGCAUCCUCCUUUCUUGCUCUAAUAGAUGGUGUGGUGAGCAUGGACCCUUCAUAGAUCCCGCACGAAUUCUUUCCGCUGGAGAGCUAGUGUUGGGGGUGGAGAGGGUCAGGAACUUAAUCCUACAUCAAUUGAGUAGUGAAAAGGAUUGUGCAAAAAUAUUUUUUCUCAGAAAAGCGUCUUUUGAAGGACAAAACCGUGAGAGAGUUUUUUUGGCCGAAGUAUCAACUUUUAGCGUCAUGCUAACUUUUUUGUCCUGUAGGGAUGCUGCGGCCGCCAUUGUGGAACGUGACCAUAGACCUUGUUGUAGGAAAUGCGUAAACCUAUACCGCAGAAUCAUAAUAUGGCAAUUGGCAAGUGGUCACCAAUUUAAGAAAUAGAUUUUGUGGGGUCCAAGAAAAUGAUGUCAGAAGUGACAUCAAAAUUAAAAUUCAUCUAUAUGUAUUUUUACAAAUCACCGCAUGCUAGGUUAUGAGGUUUUGGUGCCACACGGUUCAUAAAACAACUGAAGCUGGGAUCAUAACAGGUUUUCUUCAACAUUGUUCAGCCAAAAAAUGAGCCAAGCUCAUGCAUUUUCUCAAGUUCCACACAUAACUAAGCCAAGUUUGAGGGUUUUGGAAAUGCAAAGACAUAUAAGAAGCUCAUUCACACCGUUGGGACAACUAGUGACCUGAGCUAUGUUGUUGAGCUUGGCUUGAGCCCGAUUAUUUAUUUGAUACUACGAGUUCAGCCUGGGCAACUUAUUUCUUGUCCUAGGUCGAUCAAUUUGCAUCCACAGCUGCUUGAAAAGAAUUUGAAUUAAUACAAAGCCAAAAUUGAAUCCGUACUAAAAGUGUGAAAUCACAUAUUCUCAUAAUAGCUCUUUCUUAUUGUGUGAGAAGCAUGGGGAACCCUCAACCCUUAUCUAGUUUCAUCUCAUAAAGAUAAUGAAGACCUAUUCUCAUUUUCACAUAUCCUCAUUUCUUUUAUGAAGACCUAUGGAUCUAAGUAUCGAGUCCCAUCUCCUUGUCCUUGGACCCCAAUUGACCUCUGCAAAGAUCUCCUGAACCGCCUUGGUGCUCGGGCAACCAAUGGACCGAUUACUCUAGUCUUGUAGAGUGUCUUUAAAACCCACUAAUAAUGAACCCCUUUGAACGAUUUUAGCCUUGACCGAGUCCAUGCCCAUGAUUUAUUGAUCAAAUCGCUUAAAUCUAACCCAUCCGGAACCAUCGCACGCCCGGUCAAACUUCCUUUUCUCUUAUUAUUUUAAGACUAUUAGAGUUAUUUGAUAGAAAUUAAUUUUGCUUUUAAUAUUUAAAAUAGUUUGACAAAUUCAUGUAAGGAAGUUUGACGAUUUAAGGUGAAAGAAGUAAGUAAAUCUUACACUCCUUAUUAUUUUCAAAUUAUCAUAUUUUUAAUGCAUAUGGUUUGCUAUGAGUGGUUUUAAUAAAAAUAACAUGUUUAUAAAAUAUGAAUCUGAUCAUGCAAUUUAGUAAUUUUUCAUCUACUUAUGCGUAUGUUUUAAAAAAAAUAUUUGAAAGCUCUCAGAUAACUAUUUACAAACCUAAAGAAUUGGAAAAAAUCAACAUCCAAAGCUAGUAUCUAUAUGAACAGAGGCCCUGCUAAAAGAUACAAAAUUGACAUACGAAACAUAAUAUUGCAUUGAUUAUGGACACGUGCCCAGGAUAUAAAAUAAUCUUAGCAUGAAUAUCGAUGCGUAAUAUUUUGAACUAUUAUAUAUAUAUAUAUNNNNNNNNNNAUGGUAGAAGAAUGAUUUAUAAAUUUAUUGCCAAUAUGAGCUUGGCGGAGGAGGAAGAGGGAGGUGAGAGGAGAGCCUUCUCAAGGAGGGAAAGGGAGUGGAGAUGCAGGAAAAGUAGAUUGGGGAGAGGAGGAAGAAGAGGCGGUGAUGCUGGAAGCGAAGAUCUCCUCUUCUUCUUCCUCCUCUCCCCACUCAUCAUCUUGGACCGGAGCCCCAUGAAUAUGAUCCGUGCCAUCCCACAUGGCGUCCGAGCCCUUUAGCGAUGACAAUGUCCGUCCUCCUAGCUUUCUCCCACCCUCCGUCUUAUCUCCAAAUCCGAAGCUCCUUCAUUGCCUCCUCCACUCCCUAUCUCCUCCUUUGCCUCGUCUGCCUCCCCCCCGCCCGAGGUCCACGGUGAAGGCCGCGGUCGCCGCUCGAGAAGAAUCGCAUCCUGUUUUUAAUCAUUUAUUUGAGGGAAAGCCACUGCUGUUCGCCAAGAUCACCCGCAAGGGAGAACGAAAUAUAUGAAGGGAAAGGGGAGCCCGGAUUGCAAUAUAGAAAGGUGGGCUAGACUCCUAGUUUCAUUAUCACUGGCAUUGAUUGAUGCCUAUCAGAAAACUCUUCAUGAAAUUGUUCUCAAAUACCAAUGAGAAGAGUAUUAAAUGAGGAUAUCUCAUUUCAGUCUUUCAUCAUCUACGUGUAAGAGUUUGCAUGGCUCUUAUCUACAUCAUCCGUUUAAUUCCAUGAAUUCCUAUCUUCAUGAUAAGAGGUUAAUUUCCAUAAGCUCUUGACUUUUGUGGGCUAGCAUGCCAGUCAAAUAAUCCCUGAUCUUUCAUAGGAGAAACAAUGGCAUUUUAUGCUGAUUUUAGCAAGGACUUUUUGUUGGUGCACUUUCAUUGAAAAGGAUCAAAAGAGGCAUUCAUGGAAGAUGGGACUAUUCAUAAGAGCACGGAGGGGAGACAUUCAAAAGAAUAAUUGUGACAGACUAGACUAGACCAGACCAGCCUGCAAAUAUCCAGCCAAAUUCACUCCCAGUAGAAUGAGCAGCAACAUUUACCCCAAAAAUGUCUUUCUAAACGAAAAACCUCAAAAACAGCUUCUCAAACAAAAUAUGACAUCAUAGCAAUUGCGCAAGUAAAAUUCAGUCCUUCAUAGAGGCACAAUACAAUCUACUUGAAAAGAGCAGAUGGUUAUUUUUUAGGAAGGUUUAAAGUAGUCUGAUGCGGACACGAUUGUUCAUUCAUGAGAAACUACAACCAACUUUUUACCAACACUGUGGCCUGCAAAGAGCCCCACCAGUGCUGCUGGAGCAUUCUCGAGUCCUUCAGCUUUAUCCUCCACAUAAGUGAUCUUCCCAUCCUUUAUAUACUGGGCAAUGAUCUCCUCAAACUGAUGAUAUUUAUGAAAAAAAUCGAAAACCAGGAACCCUUCCAUUCUGAUGCGCUUUGCGACGAGGUAGAAUAAGUUAUGCACACCCUCAGGUUUCUCAAGAUUGUAUUGAGAAAUCAUUCCACACACUGCAAUCCGACCAUGGGUCCUCAUGUUGAUAAGAACAGCGUCCAGCAUUGGACCACCAACAUUCUCGAAGUAGAUAUCGAUACCUUCGGGAAACAACCUGAAAAAAAAGACUUCGUUAGAUUGUUGUUGGAAAGAAAUUGCUGGUGCUCUUCUUCAUCUUGCUGCAAUGGAGCAUAUAUGGUUCACAUUGUAAAAUUAAAUGACCGAACAAACUAUACUCAGGGGACAGAGCUAUCUAUCUAAUACCAGCUUACCACUAUUUAUAUUAUUAUAAUAAUAGGUUCUCUUUGGCCCAAUAUAUAGAUAAAUAUCCACAACCUGGGUAUAUGACAGUCCAAAUAAUUUGAAGGCAACUGCAUGUUCUCCAAACUACAAUAACCAGACCAUGGGCCUGCAAUUAUGCAAACAUCCUACAUAAAAGCGCCCGCCAAUCACGGAUCAUCACAAAUUCCAUUGCAGAGAUUUUCAGAAAUCAGGACACUUGGAAUUGAAGCUAAGAUGCAUAACAUACACAGGCAAGACCCAUGCCAGAUACUUGUUCGUGUCAUGUAAUUCCAUGUAUCACUAAGAGUUUAAGGCUGGAUGCAGAACACUAGUUUCAUAAACCAUCAGUUCUCUCGGGAUAUAGAAAAAAAAAUAAGUCAGUUAAAAAAAGAAAAAGCAACCAACCUCUUUAAAGCUGCACUCAAGUCUGGCUCCUUCUUAUAAUUAAAAGCCUCAUCAAAACCAAACUUGUUCUUCAAUAAGUUAACCUGAGUAGACAGUGCCAAAAAGGAAGUUGAGCAAUCUUAAACAGAAGAGGCAAAAGUAAAAUGCAAUGAGAACACAAAAUCUCUCUCAGGACUUGGUGCCAAAAAAGAAAUUGAGCGAUGCUUAAACAGAAGAGGCAGGAGUAAUAUGCAUAUGAGAACACAAAAUCUCUCAGGACUAGUGCUUUGUUUCACUAAAGCUGAAUGUGAACAAUUUUCUUCUCUGCAACCACAAUCAUAUCCAUUAUACCUCUUCGACCUCAUGUUGGUCAUAAGAAAACAGAAAAAGAACACAUGCACUGUGAAACAUUUCAGAUUAUCAAUGGUGCAUUCUUCUAAUAGGGAUUGGGGACCUACAAAAUUGUAGCAUUUUUCAAUAUCUAAGCCCCUGAGGGUUGCUUGCAUAAUAUAUUGCAGCUGAAAAGGGAUCUAACGAAAUUUGAUGUGAAGUGCUCCCAGAAACACUCCCAUUAUCCAUAUUCUGGAAAACACAAUUUGGGUAACCUGAACCCAAUACAUGAAACCUCAAGUUAACAACUAAUAGGUGUAUUCUGUUAAAAAUUCCAUGCCCAUUUUAAAUGAAUCUUCAUGUGCAGGUGCUAACCUCAUGCCUGAUCAAUUUUUCGUAUUCCUUAUGUGUUUCAGCAAUUCCUCUUAUCCAAAAUUUGAGAACCCAAGUCACGGUCAUACAAACCUUGUCAUCAGAGCCAGCACUUCCAACCACGUAACAGCCCAUUAAUUUGGCGAACUGCCCAACAAGCUGUCCAACAGCACCUGAUGCAGCAGACACAAAGACAUAUUCCCCGAUCUUUGGCGCACAGAUCUCAUGAAAUCCGACGUAAGCUGUGAACCCUGCCAUGCCUGAAUAUGAAAUAGUGAUGUCAGAAGCCAUACAACAAAUUGUACAGGAAGCACGGAAACUAAGAAACAGAACUAUUCUACCAAAGUUCAGUGACAUUCUUUUUCUUCCACCAUAGUAAUAACUUGAUCUUGGUCUGGUUUAGUACACUUGUGGACUCUCUCAGCUUGAUGCACAAAGCUGAUAAUUGAAACCACCUUAAUCAUUGAAAAAAUAUAUCUAUUUUACACCGAGUUCCACUUGUUUGACUUUUUUUUUUUCUUGAACAUGGUUUCAGGUAUCUGCCUCAACAGGCAAUCCUUGAUCCAGAUGAUAUAAUUCGCAUAUGGCCUUACUUAUCCCUGAACAUUUCCAUUAUCAGUAAUAGGUAAUACCAAGGAAUUAAAAAAAUAAAAAAAUAACAUUGACAUUCCAUACCAUGUUAGAUGUUAAUGAUUCAUUGAUUUUCAAUAUCAUUUUGCCAUUGUUGCAAGAUUUACAACCACAGUUGUUAAACAAUCAUGUAAUACAACUGUCAAAUCAGACCUUAAAGAAACAUAUAACAAUAUCAAAGAACGACUACUGUUUAAUGGUUAUGUACUCAACAUAGUCAGAUGGCGAAUACCAGAUUUGUAGGCAUUUUGCUGAACAAGCAACUUACCAAGAAGGCCAGUGUAAUAGGAAAGGGGUACAUCAGUGUAUCUGAUUUUGAAAAGCAUCUCUGUUUCUGUGAUGAGGCUAUACUCUUCCCAUCCAGUCAUGCCCCACACAAAGUCACCUACCUUGAAAUCUGGAUGGCUAGAAUCCACCACUUUACCCACACCGAAACCAGUUAUGACCUGUACAACGAAAGAAGAAAAAAGAUGAACAUGGAGAAACAGGGAACCUUAAAAUGUAAGCCCACAUAACUAGAAGUUCCAUGAUGGUAAUAUUGUCCGAAACAGCUUUAACUUGAUUGGGGAAAUGGAUCGCCUUUUACUUUAUCAAGUUCAAAAAUACUAGCUAUUAUUUUGAGCUCUAAUGAUGUAGCAAACAUGAAUUACAGAGAAUAUGACUAUUUAACACAAUGUAGGAUCCAUAUGUAUUAUUUCUACAAUGAUAAAGAUGAAAUUGUAACCAUUGCUUUUCAAAUUAUAUAUGUCCUUCCACAUAAAUUUACUACUGACUUGUUUUUCCUCUCUUGACUUGCUAUUUUAGCCUUAUCAUCCGACCCCAAGUACUAAGUUAUAUUACUAUAGAACUAGUAAUAUAAUAUGAGCCAAAUUUUUGCAUGGUAAAAGCUCAAAUAACUAGAAAUCGAAGAUUCAUGUGUGCUGCAAUCAUGCUAGUGACGCGUGACACUAUGCCGUGACAUGUCAUGCCAUAUUGUGCCAAUCAUGCACCCAGUCAUGUGCCAAGUUCAAGAUAGGAAAAAAUGAACUUGUGUCAGUUUGUAUCAACUCAAGAUGGUCCAUGUAGUGCCAACAAACAUUCAUGAUAUAUGGUACCUAACCCUUAUAUUGUUCUUGCAUCUAGCAAGCCUAGUACAUACCGUCUGGCACAAACCAUCACUGUGCAACACUUUGAAUCUGUGAUAAAAAAUGUAGUUGUAGAAGUCAACUUUGGGCAACAUCGGAGAUAACACAUAGAAGACAAACAGUUGUAAUAUAUAUAUAUAUAUAUAUAUAUAUAUAUAUAUAUAUAUAUUACUUACGUACUACUNNNNNNNNNNNNNNNNNNNNGUAUAUAUAUAUAUAUAUAUAUAUAUAUAUAUAUAUAUAUGAUUUUCCUAGCCAUUCCACUAUAGUUUCCCAUUGACCCUAUUUUCUCUCAUUCCCUCUUCCAAUAUUUUUCAACUGAUCAUCUCAUGAUUUGCCCUCAAACGUUCAACAUGGCAACUCCAAAAGAAAAGGAAAACCCACUCUUGGAUGCAUAACAACCUAUCUUUCUCAAGUUUAUGAUCGUACAAGACCACACUCCCCGAGUGGCCUAUCAAACCACUGAAUGCCAAAAACUGACAUCUAAUCAAUAGAAUGACAGAAUAUGCACUGUUAUACAUUAACCAAUCUUGAUGAAAAGGGAUGUGGACACUAUUUGCUUUCUUCCAGCUCUGCAGCCUCUUUUGAACCCUAUACACAUUUCUCACUCCCAAAUAAAAGUAUUGUUGCACGUUUUCCAUAGUAAACUUUGUACCGAAACAAGUAUUGCUGCAUCCAGAUCAAAGCAGUCCAAUUUCGGACGGAUCAACCAUUGGGUUGCAACAUAGCAUUUCUCAAUGAAUUAAAAUGAUCGUAAAAACACCUAAAGAUGUGCUAAAAAUAUUUUCUAUAACAGAAGGGAAAAACACACACAUACACACACUCCCUUCCCCUAGGACGACAGGUAGCAAACAAAUCCACAAGAACAAAGAAGAAGUGAAAAGAACCAUCAAAUUCCCGGUAGUUUGUGAUCAUGAUUCACACUCAUUUUCCUAACAUUUUCCAAGAAUUUUUUCCUAUAAACUUCUCUACCUAGUGCUCUUUUGCCAUUUCUUGUUUAAAUAACAUAUUUAAUUGUGCUUUUUUCUAAAAAGUCAUAACUCCUAUACAGCAGAACGAGCUAGUGCGUUUGGUAAUCGUAAGAGAAGCUCCAUAAUUAGCUCGGGACACCUGGAGCUCUACUUCUGCUCGUGUAGCGCCUUGGAUAGUGUUUUUCACCUGAAAGCCCCCACCCCCAAGUUUUUUUAAGAUCAAUUUCGAUGGUUGCGUGCUAGAUGGCGACGAGGAGAGGUGCAAGCCUUGUCAUCAGAGAUCCGGAUUCCAAGAUGAUUGUGGCUGGUGGUUACCAGAUCUUCGACAUCUCAAUCUCGGGAGCUGAGUUGAGGGCGGCGUGGGCCGGACUGGACCAUGCUUGGCAUGUGUUGCGGGCUAAAGCAAUACACCGUGAGGGUGAUUCGGCUACGAUUAUUGGCUAGAUCUAGGGAGGCGUCGACAGUAUGGGUAGGUGCCACCCCUUACUUCGAGACAUUCUGAUCAUUGUCUGUGGUAAUGUGGCCUUUCAAGCCAAGCACAUCUGCAAAGAGGCCAACGGGGCUGCGGACUGGAUGGCUUCGUACGUGGCCAACCACUCCAGAGAUACUUUUUCAGUCUGGAAGAGAGAGUUGCCUAGAGUGCUUCAGAAUUUGUUGUGUUUUAACCUUUUUGGAUAUGUCUGGAUUAGAAUUGUAUGAAUCAUCCCUUUUAGCAACAAAAAAUAAAAACAUAAUCCUAAUCGUGACAUCUAAUUUGAGCAAAACUGCAUCAUAAAGUCGUCAGAUACUACUUUAUUCGAAUAAUCAAGUAUAUGACACAAGCAACAAAGAAAACGACCAAUUCAACACCAAAACCCCCAUAAAAUUACCGAUCCUAUCAGCAACCAUUCCAUCUCCUCACCCUCCAAAACCAGACCUAAAAAAUUUAGAUCCAAGAUUCCAUAAACAGUUACGAUAACUCCAAAGAAAACAUAAGAGAAAUAAGUCGCAGGAAAAAAAAAAGUGGCUGAGAGAGAGAGAGAGGGUUCUUAUUAUAUAUUAUAUUUAUAUGGUAUACCGAGCCGGGGACGAAGUCGGGGACGUAGGAGGGCUCGUCGUGCUUGCUCAUACGCGACCUCAUAUAAGGGUCGCAGGAGAGGUACAGGUUCUUGAGCAGCACCGCCUUCGAUCCCUCGGGGACCUUCAAUCGGACGGUGUCCGUCGUCACGACCUCCAUGUCGCUCUCCUUGGGGAAACCCGCCG
rnacentral:lncRNA from 1 species